rnacentral:rRNA from 1 species
CUGGCGGCGUGCCUAACACAUGCAAGUCGAACGGAACUCGGGACUUCGGUUCUGAGUUUAGUGGCGACGGGUGAGUAACGCGUGAGGAACCUGCCUCGGAGUGGGGAAUAACACAGUGAAAAUUGUGCUAAUACCGCAUAAUGCAGUUGAGUCGCAUGGCUCUGACUGCCAAAGAUUUAUCGCUCUAAGAUGGCCUCGCGUCUGAUUAGCUAGUUGGUAGGGUAACGGCCUACCAAGGCGACGAUCCAUAGCCGGCCUGAGAGGGUGAACGGCCACAUUGGGACUGAGACACGGCCCAAACUCCUACGGGAGGCAGCAGUGGGGAAUAUUGCACAAUGGGCGAAAGCCUGAUGCAGCAACGCCGCGUGAGUGAAGAAGUAUUUCGGUAUGUAAAGCUCUAUCAGCAGGGAAGAAAAUGACGGUACCUGACUAAGAAGCCCCGGCUAACUACGUG